CCUACGGGCGGCAGCAGUGAGGAAUAUUGGUCAAUGGGCGCGAGCCUGAACCAGCCAAGUAGCGUGAAGGAUGACUGCCCUACGGGUUGUAAACUUCUUUUGCCGGGGAGCAACGGGCGCCACGUGUGGCGUCACUGAGAGUACCCGGAGAAAAAGCAUCGACUAACUCCGUGCCAGCAGCCGCGGUAAUACGGAGGAUGCGAGCGUUAUCCGGAUUUAUUGGGUUUAAAGGGUGCGUAGGCGGAUCGUUAAGUCAGUGGUCAAAUUGAGGGGCUCAACCCCUUCCCGCCAUUGAAACUGGCGUUCUUGAGUGGAAGAGAGGUAUGCGGAAUGCGUGGUGUGGCGGUGAAAUGCAUAGAUAUCACGCAGAACCCCGAUUGCGAAGGCAGCAUGCCGGCUUCCGACUGACGCUGAAGCACGAAAGCGUGGGGAUCGAACAGGAUUAGAUACCCGAGUAGUC
rnacentral:rRNA from 1 species